AUUGACCGCUAGCGGCAGGCUUAACACAUGCAAGUCGAGCGGGGUGAUGGUGCUUGCACUAUCACUUAGCGGCGGACGGGUGAGUAAUGCUUAGGAAUCUGCCUAUUAGUGGGGGACAACAUCUCGAAAGGGAUGCUAAUACCGCAUACGUCCUACGGGAGAAAGCAGGGGAUCACUUGUGACCUUGCGCUAAUAGAUGAGCCUAAGUCGGAUUAGCUAGUUGGUGGGGUAAAGGCCUACCAAGGCGACGAUCUGUAGCGGGUCUGAGAGGAUGAUCGGCCACACUGGGACUGGGACACGGCCCAGACUCCUAAAGGAGGCAGCAGUGGGGAAUAUUGGACAAUGGGGGGAACCCUGAUCCAGCCAUGCCGCGUGUGUGAAGAAGGCCUUAUGGUUGUAAAGCACUUUAAGCGAGGAGGAGGCUCUUUUGGUUAAUACCCAAGAUGAGUGGACGUUACUCGCAGAAUAAGCACCGGCUAACUCUGUGCCAGCCGCCGCAGUAA
rnacentral:rRNA from 1 species